GCUUUGCCCCCCUGAUAUUUGGGGUUAGAAAUAGCAAAUAUAUCUUCAAAAAUUUUAAUUAUAGGCCUCUUAAUGUCAAAAUUGGGCUGUGGCCCCUACUGAUUUCAGUCCGAUUUCCAAAGCAAACGACAAUAAGUCAAAAUCGAUUUGUAUCUUACCCAGUUCCUCCCCCAUCGUAUCCUCCCCCAUCAUCGCUAGUCGCUACCUCCGUACCUCGCUCAAUCGCUGCCUGUCGGUCUCGCCAUUCACCACUGCAACAUCUGGUCACUGGAAAUCAGGCAUGUGAUUCUCCUGCUCUUUCUUCUCCUGUUCUCCCGUUCUACCAAUCUCUCAGAUUGAUCUAUUCUUGAAAUUGGAAUAGUAGAAUUAGGAAUUAGAAUUUACAAAUUUGAAAACUCCAUUCUCAUAUCCUGAGUUAGUUUAUGUUUUUGACUUAGUUGUCUAGUACUCUAGUUGAUGACCUGUUUAGCUCUUUAAGUAAUCAAGCUGUCGAGUAAUGACACCGCAGUAACAGAAAAAAAAAAGAUUGAUUUGGUUCUACUUCAUAGAAAAUCAAAGUGAAUGGGGGACCACGAUGUGCUGGAUUGUUAGAAAACUUCAUAUUGAAUUGGAGUGUGGGAUGCCUGCCAGUCACCACUGUCCAUCGUAGCUCCGCCGGUCACCACCGUCCACCUGCUGUUGAGCUGUUCUGCACUUCUGCUGUUCUUUCUGGUUCACAGAACUAAAGAAAAUCAGGUAUGCUCUUGAGUUAUCUCUCGUUCGGCUAUUAUGUCUUCUCUCUUUUCCAAUUCUACUGGAAAUUAGCGGUCAAUCUAUUUAGUCUUGAAACUUGAGUAUUGAAUUUGUUUCCUCCACUUCGCCAUUUUGCUUGUUGUUGGGAUUUGGUGUACAACUAAUUAUGAUUUUCACACACAUUUAAAUGGAUUUGUGCAGAAAAUUGCUAAUGUUUGUCUAGAAUGAAUUGAUUGAUGCGUAAUAUGAAUUGUUCCUCCAUUUGCUUGUUAUUGGAAUUUGGUAAUCAACUAAUUAGGAUUUCACACACUGUUAAAUGUUCUCUUUUGCAGAAAUUUGCUAAUGUUUUGUCUAAAUUUAGCUGACGAGUGAUGAGUGAUGAGCAUUGCUCUUGUUUACCUAAUAUUUGAAUUUCAUUGACCUAAAUUUGAUUUAAGUUAGAGGGCUGAUUUUGAAUGAAAUUUUCCUCCAUUUUGAUUUUUAUAGAUACAACCACGGUAAUUUUAGGUAUUUUGGUGCUUAAUUGCUGAAAAUUGGGUAACGUUAAUUUUAAGUUCUACGUUCAAGCUCUGCCCCUAGUCGUGCGAUGUAUAAAGGGGACGUUUAGCUAUAGUAACUUUACUUCACAUAAUAAAACUUACAUUUUAGUAGUAUUUAUAAUAUAUAUGAUGAGUAUAAUGAUAAUAAAAAUAAUAUUAAAGUAUCACUUAAUUAGUGAAAACACGCUAAAGGUCAUUAACUAAAAACAUUAAACGGUUUAUUUAAUGCAUCAAAAAAAGAAAAUUGGAUAAUCUAACUCGCAUAAACAAUUAUUUUAAUAAUAAUAACCAAAUUAUAUAUAUAUAUAUAUANNNNNNNNNNNNNNNNNNNNNNNNNNNNNNNNNNNNNNNNNNNNNNNNNNNNNNNNNNNNNNNNNNNNNNNNNNNNNNNNNNNNNNNNNNNNNNNNNNNNNNNNNNAGAGAGAGAGAGAGCGACCUAGAUUCAAAUGUGGAUUGACAUCUAUUGUGUGGACGUGUGGACAGUACUAUCAUGUGAUAAUGACAAAGAAAAUACGUUGUUUAAUAAUAUGAAUACAUUUAAUUUUACAUAACUAUUGUCAUUAUCACACAUUCUCACUAAUUAAAUCGUCUAUAAGGUUAUUAUAGACUUUGUAUUAUUAUUCUCAUUCUGUCAGAAUGUUUAUUGAGUCAUAUUCUGUAAGAAUGAAAAUGAGUGAAAAAUGAUGUGUGAGAACAAAAAUGAAUAAGAAUUGGUGAGAAUGCAUAAAAAUGGUGAAAAAUGACCACAAUAUCUGGAAUAUAGCAUUCCAGGGUAGCACUAUUCAUUUCGAAAUAUGUCUUCGUAUAUUUCGGAUAGACAAAGUCAAAACCAGAGUACGGUAGUCAACAUGUACAUAUAUAUGACAUUAAAAAAUGAANNNNNNNNNNNNNNNNNNNNNNNNNNNNNNNNNNNNNNNNNNNNNNNNNNNNNNNNNNNNNNNNNNNNNNNNNNNNAUAUAUAUAUAUAUAUAUAUGAAGAAAAAUGUUGUUAGUCACUUACUUCCAAUCAUCCGUAUUUAUUAGUUAUAACUGCUUCAAGAUGAGUUUCUCAAAUAGUGACCAGGAAAAAAGCUUUACCAACUUAUAUGUUUACUUACACAACAUUCGGUGGACCAACCUUCAUAGUUACAUCAACAUUAAAACUAAAGUGAUGGAUCAUUUCCAACUCUGCUUUGUGUUUAUUGCAUAUGUGGUAAAAUUAUUUUGUACCAUAUUUUAAUUGUUUCUUUGAAAUGUAUAAUGUUUCUACAAUUAAUUGGUUUUUUCCAAAAAAAUAUACAGCUUCAUGUAUCCAUAGGUUGUUUGUUGUCUGUCAUCUUUAUAGGUAGUGUUCUUCUAAGAUGGGACUACCUAAUGAUAAUGUUCAUAGCAUUUGCUAUGGAUGAAAACAACCAUACUCUGCCUAUAGCAUUUGGUAACGGUGUGACAAAUAAUGUUGACAAUUGUAUCUAGUUCUUGAUAUGGUUGAAGGAAGCUCACAAAGAGGAUAUGGAAGUAUCAUUUUUAACCAUUAUGGAUGAUGUCAUUAGUUCUUGCAUAGGUUAGGCAUUCCUUGAUUCUUAUCAUGGUAUUAUUCUAAGUUUGAGUUCAUGUAUUUGUGAACAGGAAUUAGUGGAAAUAGACAAUUGGAACAUUUGUACUUCUAUGCAUGCAAAUCAUAUACUAUGUCUGAUUUUCAACAAACACUCCGUUAACUAAGUCAUGAUGCAUGUAAGGUGCUUGCCAAAAUCGGUCAUGCAAAAUGGGGAAGAGUCUAUUUUUCUAACAUUCGUUGGAAUGUACUUAACAUUGAUAUUCUAGAAUUAUCCUAGUAUUAUCGGUUAAUCAAUGCAAUGUACCAAUAAUAACACUUAGUGAGGUAAUUAUGACAACAUCCAACAUACUUUUGUUGAACGCAUUCUCAUGGGAGGUAAAAUACCAAAAAAGAAUAUUGAAUUAUUUUUUACUUGAAAAAUAACCAUAAAUGAUAAUAUUUUACUUUUUAGGGAGGUUGACUAGCAAACUCAUCCCGUAUGUAGAGACGAUGCUUUAUAGGAGGAUGCAAAAGUGUGUUCGGUGGCAAGAAAUAAAUAUCCCACCCGAGAUACUGUCUUUGUUCCCGUCCAACGUUUUUUAAGUUUUUGAUUUUAAAACAACUUGUGUGGUAGAUCUGAACCACCACAUAUGUUCAUGUACGAAAUGGCGCAGUCUGGAUAUAGUGGAUAUAGCAUGCAGUCAUGCUAUUGCGGCAUAUCAUUAUUCAAACAUCACAUAUUUAGACGAUAUGGUUAAGGUAUAUUACCAAGAUGACGUGUUUCAAACUACAUACCAGACGCAAAAUACGCACUAUGUUCCCCUCCAUCUGAAUGGGAAAUACCGGACCCAUUGAUGGUUGUUUUAAUCUCUAUGUAACCAUAUAUUUAUUUUUAUCGUAGUUAAUUAUGUGUUUAAUCGAUUUGGAGUGACUAAUAAAAAUUAUUGUUGCCCUAAUAUUUUUACAAAUUACAAGAUGAAAAAACAUAAUUUAGUAAUAAC
rnacentral:lncRNA from 1 species